UAUACAUAUAACAUAUUAUAUAUGUCAGAAGCGAGCAGGAAAUGUGUUUGAGGUAACAAAAUGUGUGUGAGGUUACAAACAUGCAAAACCUCUUUGUCAGCCCUCAGCAAGGGAAAAGCCAAAGAACUGUCAAUACAGAAGACACAAUUGGUAAAUCACUGUCACAAGGGUAAUGAGUACGAAAAAAAAAAACAUAAUGUUAUGUUUUGGGUUUUGGUGUUGGUUGCGUGUGUUUUCUGUUUCCUUUUUCUGUUUCCCCCCUGGCAGUGUAGGUGUGUGGCAGUGGGCGUGGCUGGACUGUUGGUACAUCUACGAGGCACACCUGGCAGCAAUCAUCCAAUUACCCCGCUCCAUAAAAGCCUGGCUUCACUCCACUCCGGUGCCGAAUUAUUUCCGACGACAAAUAGCCCGAGUGCCUCGCCUCCUGUUUGAACUCUGACGCUGGCUCCCUCGUUGUGGCUAUCCCGGUUCGUGGUGCCUACAGUCCGGUCCGCCCGCUGCCUCCUCUACACGCCAGCGUUUUUGUUAUUGUUUUCUUAUUGAAUACAUUUUAGUUUGUAUCCUC